rnacentral:rRNA from 1 species
AUUGAACGCUGGCGGCAGGCCUAACACAUGCAAGUCGAAUGGUAACAGGAAACAGCUUGCUGUUUCGCUGACGAGUGGCGGACGGGUGAGUAAUGUCUGGGAAACUGCCUGAUGGAGGGGGAUAACUACUGGAAACGGUAGCUAAUACCGCAUAACGUCGCAAGACCAAAGAGGGGGACCUUCGGGCCUCUUGCCAUCAGAUGUGCCCAGAUGGGAUUAGCUAGUAGGUGGGGUAACGGCUCACCUAGGCGACGAUCCCUAGCUGGUCUGAGAGGAUGACCAGCCACACUGGAACUGACACACGGUCCAGACUCCUACGGGAGGCAGCAGUGGGGAAUAUUGCACAAUGGGCGCAAGCCUGAUGCAGCCAUGCCGCGUGUAUGAAGAAGGCCUUCGGGUUGUAAAGUACUUUCAGCGGGGGGGAAGGGAGUAAAGUUAAUACCUUUGCUCAUUGACGUUACCCGCAGAAGAAGCACCGGCUAACUCCGUG